rnacentral:tRNA from 1 species
UAGGGAGACCUACACCCCUUACAUAUCGAAAAACACACAGUUAAAUAGAUAGUAAGUUGGUCUAACCUAGGUCGGUCGCAGAUAUUUGCAAAAUGUUGAACGCUUUCAAACUAUGAUGAAGGUUCGAAAUGGGCUAUUAGCUCAGGUGGUUAGAGCGCACCCCUGAUAAGGGUGAGGUCCCUGGUUCGAGUCCAGGAUGGCCCACCUGAAUCAAUUAAAAAUGUAAAAUGCAAAAUUAAAAAUGAAGAAAAUUCAAUUUUUAAUUUUUAAUUAUCGAUUUUUAAUUGAAUCUGGGGGUUUAGCUCAGUUGGUAGAGCGCCUGCUUUGCAAGCAGGAUGUCAGCGGUUCGAGUCCGCUAACCUCCACCUGUGGCGAUUGCCAUUGAUAAAAAAUAUAGAGAGUUCAGCAACAUGACUUUCGGGUCAGACUGCUGAGUAGUAUCUCAGCCAGAACCUUGAAAACUGCAUAGUAACGCGAAAUUAGCAGGCAGACACAGACAUUCCGAAAGGAUGUUUUUGUGAAUGCAAAUUGUGAAACACCAAAAGAAUUGAGU